CCAAGGCAAUAACCAUUUUCUUAUCAACAACACAUGCUUCAAUAUUAGGUUUAAUAAGUUAAUAUAUUUUAAUCAGAAUUUGCUUUCAUGUAGUAGUAUGAUCCCAUUCUCACCCCAACUAAUGAGUGGUCCCUGAUGAAUACUAAAAUCCCUCAAAUUCCUUGCUCAUACACUCAGAUUCUAUUUCCUAUUAGACAAUGAGAGCAACAACAUGAACUGCUUAACAGUUUAGUAUUAUCAAAUUAUCCAUUGUCUGCCAUUGACGCAUCUCUCCUCAAACAAUGAAGUUGGCAGUUCCCUUACAUUACUCAACUUGUCUGCUGGCACAAACUCUCUAAAGCUGCUACUUUGGAAUGUUAAAGGAGAGCUCUCAAGGCAUCUCCUGACGGUAGUAUUCAACAUGUUAGUUUCUUGGAGGCAAAAGUGCUUGCUAUUUACUCUUCUUGCUUUCGUUGUUCUCUCAUCAGACGCAUCAAGAUUGCCUAAGGCUUACUGGGAACAAAUGUUGCCCAAGAAGCUGCCUGCUCCUUCCUCAUCCCCCUCUAAAGGCACCAAUUCAGUCUCCAGAUCAUAUUCUACAACGUAGUACAUGCAGUCUUGAAAUUCGCACUGAUCCCAAAGAAAGCAUAUGUCGAGUUUUGUAAAUUAGUCUACAUGAUGAUGUGUGUGUAUAUAUACAUGCUUUAAAGAGAAGCAAACUCUUGUGGAUUUUCUCGACUUGGUCUGCGAAAACACUGUAAAGGUGAUUGAACAGAGAUAUUUACAAUGAAUCAGCAGGAUGAAAUAAUCAAUACUGAGCUCUAGAUGGAAAGAUUCUUCCUAGGAGUUUGGAUUUCACAACUGAGCUUGGUUUUGUUACUAGAGAAACAUUGAUCAUGUUAAUGCAGAGAAAUAACUUACUAUAGCAUUUUUUUGUAGAUUUUCUUUCAUGUAACUAAUCUCUCUUGUAAUUUGGGUGUUACCUUCAGCAUAAUCACAACUCAAAACUUUACGAAGCAAAUAUAUCUUCAAAUUCUGUGAGCAGAUGCGUUAUUCUUGAAAAUAAAGUUUCUCACGAAUUUUAUUAA